AUUUGACCUCACAGCUAAGAGCUAAUGGCCUUGCGCCGUCAUAUGCCCAACAGAGAAUAAACCAAGGUCAAAUAAGGCAGCAAUUAUCUCAACAAAGUUCACUCACGUCUCCACAGGUUCAGAACUUACCGAGAAUGUCAAAUCUUGCAUUUAUGAAUCAACAAUUGACCAAUUUGGCUCAGAAUGGGCAGCCAACCAUGAUGCAG
rnacentral:misc_RNA from 1 species